rnacentral:rRNA from 1 species
GACGAACGCUGGCGGCGUGCUUAACACAUGCAAGUCGAACGGAAAGGCCCUGCUUGCAGGGUGCUCGAGUGGCGAACGGGUGAGUAACACGUGGGUGAUCUGCCCCUUACUUUGGGAUAAGCCUGGGAAACUGGGUCUAAUACUGGAUAGGACCAUGCUGUAGGUGGUGUGGUGGAAAGAUUAGUUUCGGUAAGGGAUGAGCUCGCGGCCUAUCAGCUUGUUGGUGGGGUAAUGGCCUACCAAGGCGUCGACGGGUAGCCGGCCUGAGAGGGUGGACGGCCACAUUGGGACUGAGAGACGGCCCAGACUCCUACGGGAGGCAGCAGUGGGGAAUAGUGCACAAUGGGCGCAAGCCUGAUGCAGCGACGCCGCGUGGGGGAUGACGGCCUUCGGGUUGUAAACUCCUUUCAGCCACGACGAAGCCCUUGUGGUGACGGUAGUGGUAGAAGAAGCACCGGCUAACUACGUG